rnacentral:rRNA from 1 species
CGGGACGGGUGAGUAAUGCUUGGGAAUCUAGCUUAUGGAGGGGGAUAACUACGGGAAACUGUAGCUAAUACCGCGUAGAAUCGGGAGAUGAAAGUGUGGGACCUUCGGGCCACAUGCCAUAGGAUGAGCCCAAGUGGGAUUAGGUAGUUGGUGAGGUAAAGGCUCACCAAGCCGACGAUCUCUAGCUGGUCUGGGAGGAUGACCAGCCACACUGGGACUGAGACACGGCCCAG